rnacentral:misc_RNA from 1 species
AAGUCGUAACAAGGUUUCCGUAGGUGAACCUGCGGAAGGAUCAUUAACACGUAUCCAAAACCCCCCCCGUGAACCUUCAUCCUGCUCUUGUAACCCGCGUAGUUCGCAAUCUCUGAUAAAUCAUAGCCCGGAAAGUUGUAGUGAUUCAGAGACCUCUGGCUACGUGCGAACAUUGGAACAGUUACAAUCGAGCUGUCAUUGAUUGUGCAAGGAUAGCGCUUCUGUAGACCGUACACUCGGGCAGGAGCUUUGCCAAAGGGUCCCCAUGCCCCCUAAUAACCCCACAGUUUAAUGUGAAGCUCAAUGUAAUACAUGUAAAAAAACCGAACAACUGUUAACAAUGGAUAUCUUGGUUCUC